GGAGAGGUGCCAGAGCCAGGUUUAUCGGGCACUCCUGCUAAGGGUGUGAGGACACCGUUCCUCCGUGGGUUCGAAUCCCACCCUCUCCGC
rnacentral:tRNA from 1 species